UGGUCCAUGAUAUGCCUUACAGACUUAUCUAUUUUCUUCUAGGGAUAUGCCCUAGAAACUGUUGUCUAUAUCCUGAACAGAGUACCUUCAAAAUAUUGAAAUUUGAAGUUUGGUGCAUGCAUAUAUAUUUUAAAAUUUUAUUUUUUAAACACCGCAGCGUAGAAUAAGAUUAAAAUACUUUUAAUCUAAAUUAUGUAUGCAUGAAAAUAUAAAACA
rnacentral:lncRNA from 1 species